rnacentral:lncRNA from 1 species
AAAUAAAAUUUUAAUUUUUUCAUAAAAUUGAUCUGUUGCAUGCCUAGACUAGUUGUAGAAUUGUUCCAGUAACUUGUCUAGAAUAGAUUUAAUUUUGAAUAGUUCAAUUUAAAUCUUAUUUUUUAGAUAUUACAUAUGAUGUAUCAAAUCUGAAAGCAUGUUAAUUAGAUCAAUUUUUGAUACAUGAGAUGUAUGCAAAGCAUGUAUUAGUUAGAUCUUAAAUUGUAUAUGAGAUAUGUAAAUUUAGAUCUAACUAGUUUUGUAGUUAAAUUUAUAUUUCUGAUUAAGGUGUUCCUCAUGGC